rnacentral:misc_RNA from 1 species
GGGAUCGGUGUAUAAGAUGCRUCUUUCCGUGUUGUUUCUUUCUCAAGGAUCUUUUCCCUCUUGAUUGAUCUUUCAGAUCUGGAUCACGACGAGACAUUCCCAAAAUGGUCCUGGUUGUCCUGAAGAAACGGUGAAGUUGGAAAGGGUAGCCAUAUCCUGCCUUGAUAAUGCGAGACCAUCAAGGACCGUAUCUCUUUCUCACUGCGAUACGAAGCUGUCCGCAACCUGUUGUGCGCUUAUGUAAUGGUGCCGAAACUCAGGUGGUUAGAGCGCACGCCUGAUAAGCGUGAGGUCGGCAGUUCGAGUCUGCCCGGGCCCACCAUUCGCUCUGCGAAUGUGUCCUGACGCUGUCGCGAUCUGAAGAUCGCUUCGCUCCGGACGGGCCGCCGAACGAUCGGCGACGGGCCUUGCCCUUGCGGCGCUUGUUGCGCCGACAGGCAUGCUUGACAUGUUCACCGAAGCCGGCGUCGCCGGUCAUCGAAAGAUGGGGCUGUAGCUCAGCUGGGAGAGCACCUGCUUUGCAAGCAGGGGGUCAGCGGUUCGAUCCCGCUCAGCUCCACCAUUCGAUUGGUGUUGAACUGGCGGUAAUUAUCCUUGGAGAAAAGUAKGUUUGCAUCGUCUUUAUGAGACGGAUGCCUGUUCUGCAAAAAUUGUGAAGAGAAGAUAUGUCUGGAAGCUUCCAGGUGUUGAAGGUGAUCGAAAGGCUGCCGGAGACGUCCGAGCCCAGCCCCGAAGAAACCAUGGAUGGUCUAGCCACCGGAAAUGGCGGAGGGUUGGAGGUAGGAGGGAUCUUGUUGUUGAAAGCGUGUAUGUUUUUUGGUCUCCUUCGGGAUGCCCAUCUGGUGUUUGGGGCUUAUUGUGUCCCUGACCGCGUCUCCCAGACAUAUUUCGAGAGUUGUUUUAAAACGGGCGCAAGUGACCUCUGGCUGGUUCCCAAAAACGGGCGUGUCAAAACCCAUGGCAUUAAUGGCUUGUUUUAAAAGUAACAGGUUUUUGGCG